UACGGGGGGGGCAAGCGUUGUUCGGAAUUACUGGGCGUAAAGGGCUUGUAGGUGGCCAACUAAGUCAGACGUGAAAUCCCUCGGCUUAACCGGGGAACUGCGUCUGAUACUGGAUGGCUUGAGUGUGGGAGAGGGAUGCGGAAUUCCAGGUGUAGCGGUGAAAUGCGUAGAUAUCGUCAAGAACACCGAUAGUGAAGACAGCUUACCAAGCUUCAACUGACGCUGAGGCACGAAAGUGUGGGGAUCAAACAGG
rnacentral:rRNA from 1 species